AAGUCGUAACAAGGUUUCCGUAGGUGAACCUGCGGAAGGAUCAUUAUCGAGUUUUUUCCAUUGCGGACUUGUGCAUUCACUUGCACGCCCACAAUUGGAAUUCACUUAUACACACCUGUGCACCUUUGACAAAACCUGACACUUGUCCACCUCUCGGGGUGGGACUUGAGCGCUGCGGUCAUAGCUCGCUCAGAGUUGAAGGCAUAGUCUUUUUUUUACACCUUUUUGUAUGUUCUUGAAAAUCUUGAUUGCGCCGUAAUGGAGUAAUCUUUAAAAUAAAUACAACUUUCAGCAACGGAUCUCUUGGCUCUC
rnacentral:misc_RNA from 1 species